UACGGGGGGGGCAAGCGUUGUUCGGAAUUACUGGGCGUAAAGGGCGCGUAGGCGGCCUGCUAAGUCGAACGUGAAAUCCCUGGGCUCAACCCAGGAACUGCGUCCGAUACUGGUUGGCUUGAAUCCGGGAGAGGGAUGUGGAAUUCCAGGUGUAGCGGUGAAAUGCGUAGAUAUCGGAAGGAACACCAGUGGCGAAAGCGGCUUCCUGGCCCAAUACUGACACUCAGGUGCGACAGCGUGGGGAGCAAACAGG
rnacentral:rRNA from 1 species